AAGGGCUAUGAAGGUGACUAAGAGAUGGAGGAAACAAAAUAACGUGAAAGGUAUCACAUGUAUAGGAAGAACAAAAGAAACUUCCCAUGCAGGCAUGCAGGAAAGAGAGGAGAAACAGCUGCUUACACGCCUUCUGCAGUGAGAAACUGAGAGCUGGCAUCACCUUCAGAUCUACCUGAGAAGGUCCAUCUGCACGCCUGGGGCUCAAAAUCAGGCCAAGCUCAGCACCCACAAGAGAAAGCUGCUGCCCUACCACUGUGACCUGUCAAAGCCCCAGCCCAAAACUCAGCCCCCACAGCUCCAACAGUCAAAUCUCAUUUGGGAAGGGAUGUGUCAAAAUCCAGCACUUCUCCAUUUGCCUGAACGCUGACCCACUGCCUACAGUCUUUACUAACAGCACGUGGCCUGCCAUUUUGACAUAAAAGUAAAGUUUCAAUGUGUGUUUUACUGCC